rnacentral:tRNA from 1 species
UCCGCAGUAGCUCAGCUGGUAAAGCAUCUGCCUGCAAUGCAGGAGACCUGGGUUCAAUCCCUGGGUUGGAA